rnacentral:tRNA from 1 species
GAGGUUGUGGCUCAGGGGUGGAGUGCUCACCUAGCACGUGUGAGGGUUGGGUUCGAUCCUCAGCACCACA